CUGCAGAUGUCACACUACUUGAUCCAAUUAAGAUUCCUGGUAAUGAACAUGACCAACAGUUAAUCAAGCAAACAAAGGGCACUGUGAUAAGUAUACCACUGAUGCAAUUGUAUCCCGAUUGCUGAUCAAGAGAACCGUUUGAUUGAUAUCAACACAACAACUGAAGUGGUGGAACAAGUCAGAUUUUUCUACGAACACAUAUGGCGAGCUUGGGAUCUAGAAGAAGAAAAUAUCUGUUACACUAGUUCUCUGAUUGCUGCUCGUUUCAAAUUGUAUGUAGUUUAUUUGAGAAAAC